GGCCUGGGGAGGAAGUCUGCAGCCCCAGGCUGCUGAGGGCGUGGUGUCUGUGUUUGCACCUUUGGAAUGUGGCUGAUUCACUCUGGGGAGAGCCAUGUGCAGCCACCGCUGCUGCCUUGGAUCUGACAUCUGGAGGCUGAAUUCCCCGAGGAGACAGAUUCUUGCAAGCAGAUGCCAACUUUGAAGGUCAAACUGAGUGAUGGAGCUGCUUUAGGAGGAGGUCCAGAGGCCCCCCCAGGAUUCUGGGAGAGAGAGCUUUGCCGAGUGCUGUUCCACAGUAAAUGUUGAUUCUUCCAUCAAGGGCCAUGCAGACCUCAAGCCCCAGAUGUGUUCCAUGGUCUAUCAAGAUGGAGGGGCCCAAGGCACAAGGACCUGAAAAUGGCUUCUAGGAGCUGAGAGCGGACCCCAGCCAGUAGCCAGCAAGCCAAUGGGACUCAGUACUACAGCCGAAAGGAACUGAAUUUUGCCAACAUCCACUGAGCUUGGAAGAGGAUCAGAUACCCAGAUGAAAUCGCAGCCACAGCUUACACCUUGAUUUCAGCUGGUGAGACCCUGAACAGAGAACCCAGCUAUGCCAUGCCUGGCCUUCUGACCCCCUGAAUUGUGGGAUGAUAAACAGGUACUGUUUUAGCCAAUACAUUUGUGGAAAUUUAUUACACGGCAACUGGAAACGAAUACAUCAUUUGUCCAAAGAGAAGAAUAGUAUUCUAGACACAUGUAAGAUAAAAAUGAGAAAAAUCUAUAUCCCCCACCUCCCAACGGGUGUUGUGUAGAGUCAAAACCUGCAGCAGCUGCUGUGUUUACAGUCCCCUCUCCUGGCUGCAGUUAAAGCCACAUUCUUAGGGUUCAUAUCUUUCACUUGAGCUUCCAUCUAUUCUGGGUGAGGGCAGGUUUGUUCUGAGAAGGGCUGUGCUAAUGGCACCAUCAGAGCAGCCAGAUCCCACUGUGGCUGAAGAUAGGAGCUCUGGAACCCUCUGCUUUGGGGAUCCCUGGACUUUGGUCACCUUUAGGGUCAAUAAAACCGUUUUUAAAAUAACAGCGUUAUUAGAUAUAAUUCACCCAUCUAAAGGGUAAAAUUGAGUGGUUUUAGUGUAUUCAGAAUUGUGUAACCAUCACCACAAUCAAUUUUAGAACAAAUUCAUUGCCUUACAAGAACCGCUCCCCACAAUAGUUGUUGCCCCUCAUUUCCUCCUAAUUCUCUCUCAUUCCCUGGCAACCACUAAUCUUUCUGUCUCUAUAGACUCACUUAUUCUUGACAUCCAUGUAAAUGGAGUCAUGCAGUAUGUGACCUGUGUCUGGCUUCUUUCACUGAGUAUCAUGUUUCCAGGGUCAUCCAUGUUGUGGCAUGUGUCAGUACUUCAUUUCUUUUUAUGACUGAACAAUAUUCCAUUGUAUAGGUGGACCACAUUUUGUGUGUUCAUUCAUCAUUAAAACCUAUUGAUGGCUCUUA